GGUCCCUUGGCCCAGUUGGUUAAGGCGUGGUGCUAAUAAUUUACUAAAAAAAAGUUGUUACGCCAAGAUCAGCAGUUCGAUCCUGCUAGGGACCA